AGUGAACGCUGGCGGUAUGCCUAACACAUGCAAGUCGAACGGCAGCACAGUAAGAGCUUGCUCUUACGGGUGGCGAGUGGCGGACGGGUGAGGAAUACAUCGGAAUCUACUUUUUCGUGGGGGAUAACGUAGGGAAACUUACGCUAAUACCGCAUACGAUCUACGGGUGAAAGCAGGGGAUCUUCGGACCUUGCGCGAUUGAAUGAGCCGAUGUCGGAUUAGCUAGUUGGCGGGGUAAAGGCCCACCAAGGCGACGAUCCGUAGCUGGUCUGAGAGGAUGAUCAGCCACACUGGAACUGAGACACGGUCCAGACUCCUACGGGAGGCAGCAGUGGGGAAUAUUGGACAAUGGGCGCAAGCCUGAUCCAGCCAUACCGCGUGGGUGAAGAAGGCCUUCGGGUUGUAAAGCCCUUUUGUUGGGAAAGAAAAGCAGCAGGUUAAUACCCCGCUGUUCUGACGGUACCCAAAGAAUAAGCACCGGCUAACUUCGUG
rnacentral:rRNA from 1 species